rnacentral:rRNA from 1 species
AUUGAACGCUGGCGGCAGGCUUAACACAUGCAAGUCGAACGAGUGGCGGACGGGUGAGUAAUGCUUGGGAAUCUCGCUUAUGGAGGGGGAUAAAUACUGGAAACGGUAGCUAAUACCGCAUACCAUCAGUUGAACCCAUAUGGGAUUAGCGUGUAGGUGAGGUAACGGCUCACCUAGGGGAAGAUCCCUAGCGGGUCUGAGAGGAUGAUCAGCCACACGGGGACUGGGAAACGGCCCAGACUCCUACGUGAGGCAGCAGAGGGGAAUAUUGCACAAUGGGCGAAAGCCUGAGUCAGCUAUGCCGCGUGUAUGAAGAAGGCCUUCGGGUUGUAAAGUACUUUCGUUCGGGAGGCGUUACCUACAGAGUAAGCACCGGCGAACUCCGUGCCAGCAGCCGCGGUAAUAC